ACAUGCAAGUCGAACGGCAGCGGGGGAGAAGCUUGCUUCUCCUGCCGGCGAGUGGCGAACGGGUGAGUAAUACAUCGGAACGUGCCCUGUAGUGGGGGAUAACUAGUCGAAAGAUUAGCUAAUACCGCAUACGACCUGAGGGUGAAAGUGGGGGACCGCAAGGCCUCAUGCUAUAGGAGCGGCCGAUGUCUGAUUAGCUAGUUGGUGGGGUAAAGGCCCACCAAGGCGACGAUCAGUAGCUGGUCUGAGAGGACGAUCAGCCACACUGGGACUGAGACACGGCCCAGACUCCUACGGGAGGCAGCAGUGGGGAAUUUUGGACAAUGGGCGAAAGCCUGAUCCAGCAAUGCCGCGUGUGUGAAGAAGGCCUUCGGGUUGUAAAGCACUUUUGUCCGGAAAGAAAUGGCUCUGGUUAAUACCUGGGGUCGAUGACGGUACCGGAAGAAUAAGGACCGGCUAACUACGUGCCAGCAGCCGCGGUAAUACGUAGGGUCCAAGCGUUAAUCGGAAUUACUGGGCGUAAAGCGUGCGCAGGCGGUUGUGCAAGACCGAUGUGAAAUCCCCGAGCUUAACUUGGGAAUUGCAUUGGUGACUGCACGGCUAGAGUGUGUCAGAGGGGGGUAGAAUUCCACGUGUAGCAGUGAAAUGCGUAGAGAUGUGGAGGAAUACCGAUGGCGAAGGCAGCCCCCUGGGAUAACACUGACGCUCAUGCACGAAAGCGUGGGGAGCAAACAGGAUUAGAUACCCUGGUAGUCCACGCCCUAAACGAUGUCAACUAGUUGUUGGGGAUUCAUUUCCUUAGUAACGUAGCUAACGCGUGAAGUUGACCGCCUGGGGAGUACGGUCGCAAGAUUAAAACUCAAAGGAAUUGACGGGGACCCGCACAAGCGGUGGAUGAUGUGGAUUAAUUCGAUGCAACGCGAAAAACCUUACCUACCCUUGACAUGCCACUAACGAAGC
rnacentral:rRNA from 1 species